UCGGAGGAGAAAUUGUUUUUUUUUUUGUUUUUUGCGCGAAAGUUAAUUGAGUGGUUUUAAUUUGAAAUUUGGAAUAAUUUGAUAUAUCGCGUGGUGCCAACGAUGUUAAGCUUCUCCGGAAGUUGCUAAGUUGGGGUAAAAUGAACACGGAUGACAAUAAACUAGUUAAGAACUGGAAACAAGCAGAACUGGAACUUGAAGAACAAAGCAAACGGAGUACGAGUAAAAUUCUUGAAAAUAUGGUCUUUUAAAAAUAGAUUAUUGUAGUAUUAAUUGCAGUUACCACAAACAGGCUUCAGUUUGAAUGGAUUUGAAUUGUUAGAAAAAGAUCCAACAGGCUCUUGAAGAACAACAAAGAAGUAUCAAAAUAAUAUAUUUGUAUACAACUUUUGGAAUGUACAGCUGUCUUACGACGGCAUAGAUCUGAUUCCACGUUUUACCUAUUAACCAUUGACAUGCAAGACAAAUUCGAUACUAAACCUAGACUGAAUGGUUAUGCUUACAAAACUAGCUAUCAAUCAGAAAGUAAAUAAAUUAUCAAAUCUUAUCGUGCAAAAUACUGCAGCUACAAAGAACCCUGUCUAGCAAGCUGAUGAGUAAUGCUGUCUAACAAUAACAGUCUUUCUAGUAAUCGUAAUAGCAAAGAAUGUCAAAACAAAAAAACAGGAACCUUCGUCAUCAAGUACCUCCUCCCUGGAACUUACUGAUAUAUGCUAAAAAAGACUGUAGAGGAUUUUUCGGGGUAGAAAGUGUAUAGAUGUGAGCAUCCAAUACUGAUCGCUCUAUACUACGAUUUUGUUUGAAAUUAGGAAAGAAAAUGGAAGCCAAAGCUUAAUCAAGACAAAUAACA